CUCAAAUUGACACUCAACCUGCUCGGUCCAGAGGUUUUAAACCUCCUCGGGACUUAUCAGCACUCUCGGGUGUGCCUGCCGCCACAGGAGCCGUCCUCCCGCGGACGCCGCGUCACAAGCCCACUCCGGGGCCCGCCUGCCUCCCCGUUCCUCCAGGCUGCGUCUGCAGGGGCGAGCGCGCGCCCCGGCCCGCGCUGGGGAGGAACCGGGGCCCUAAAGGCRAGACACGGAACAGGGAAAGUCAGACCACGCUCCAGCACACCUGGCCCCACGCUCCUGGCGCGGCGUGGAGCCAGGCCCCAGCCCCCGCCACUCCUCAUCACGCACCGCCGCCUCCACGCACCGACGGCCGCAGCGGGCAGGACACAGCCCACCGCCAUCCGAAGGCACGCGCUCGCCUCACCGGGGCCCCCAGAUCCUCGACUCCAGGCGGCCCCGGCUCUCAACCUGCCGCCGCCGAGCGAAAACGCCUGCCCUACUCGCCGCCAUGCUGCUCCCUGCCGCUGCGCAUGCGCCGGCCGCCAACGGAGCGCCGCCGCAGCGGCGGCCCGGCGCUCGAGCACCGCGCAUGCGCCGGCUACGGACCCGAUCGAGCGGGAGGGGCCGGGGGAGCGGGGGGGAAGGGGAGCGGGAGGGAGGCGAGACCCGCAAUGGCGCCCUCACGUGCUUGCGGCGCGACACUGCAGCCGGCCGACUCACGCGUGCGAACCGCAGCCCGCCGCGGCCCCGCGGGGCUCCCACCGAGCGCCCCCAGGUUGCUCUGCCCGUGCCCGUGCCCGUGCCCGAGAGAGCGGCAGGGAUCAGCGAGCAGGCUCUGGUGCUGCCCCGGUGAGAGGGCACCGCGGAGCAGCUCCAAGAUGGCACUGCCCGUCCCCACGACACCAGGAAGCACCGACAAGGAACAGCAUUCUGCGCCACCGGCCUGUGAGCACCGGGAAGGGGCGACGAGCACGGCCCAUUCGCUUACCCGUUCCCGGAGCACCGGAGAGUAACGGCGAACACAGCGAUCGGCGGUGCGCGCCGGCUGGCUGCAGUAUUCUUUGUACGCGGGGGAGGGCAGUCGUGGCUGCAGUACUGGCGUGUCGACACCUGAGGGCAGCAGUGAGCAUGGAAAAACCAGUGCGCAUGCGUGCGCCUUACGCGUGCAGUACUACUUUAUCGACAGCCGAGGGUAGCAGUGAGCGCGGCGGAACGCAGUGCGCAUGCGUGGGCCCGUUGGCUGCUAUCCUGGAUUCUUAG
rnacentral:lncRNA from 1 species